AGGUGCUAAGAGGGAGGAGAGCUCUGUGACAGGAAUGGACAAGGAUUCCUCACAGGGGACAUGAACGUGGAGGUUUUCAAGCAUGUGAAGGAUGCCAAUAAGCAGAGAUGUUGACAUGAAGGAGCAUUCAAGGUGGAGGAAACUCUUGGAAGUAGCAGAGAAAGUGGAUUUUCUGAACCAUGAUUACAAAAUGGCCACAACCGCUUCAGUUACCAGGUUCCCAUGCUAUGUCCUCCAAAACAAGAAAGAAGAUGGAAGAGCUGCUUUGUGUCCAUCUCCCUGUUUUAAAGGAGAAAAAUCUUUACCAGAAGCAUCUCUGCACCCUCCCCAGCAGACUUCCACGGGCUUCAUCCCCUUGGCCAGCUCUGGCUCACACCUAUGCUCUAGGUCCAAAGGAGCUGGGAAAGUGCGUACCUGGGACUUGCAACAUUUCUAACUGAUGUUGGGCUCUGCCAGACAGAAAGGAGAGUCAGGAGUGAACGUGGACAGGCAGGCAACAGAGUCCAUAGAGCCAUGGCAGAGGAGGGUAGGAGAUGAUGUCUGAAGACAAGCUCAGGUUGAAUUAUGAAGGGCUUGUAGUGCCUUCUUAAGGAGUUUGCAGUUUAUCUUAUAACCAUGAGAAACCAGCAUAACUCUCUGUGGUGAAGAGGAAGGCGCUGACCAGUGCUGAGUUUUAGAGAAAGAAGUGGAGGCAAGGGUGGGAGAAGGUUUGAAAGGGACUGUGCAGAUCAGGAUGGGGCAUAUAUUGGGACACUCUGGGGACUCCUGAAGGAAUCAGUAGGCUAUCCCUCAACCUGGGAACAUUUAACUAGAUCGUUCAGGAAUAACCAAUGUGUGUAUAAUGUACUUGGCAAAGAAUUGAGAAACCAGACUGUAAGCCCAGCUUUUCCAAUAAUUGGCUGCUGCACCUGAGAAAAGUCACUACUUCAGUUUCCUCAUCUCUGAAAUGAGGUCACUAGACUAAAUGCUCCCUCUUUCCGUCCCUCCUCCAGCAGUCCAAGAAUGGCUCUUUGUAAAGACAUUUGCUUAGAUGGAUGCUGUCCACGCACCUCACAAGGAAGGAAGCAGGGCUGAUCUGGGCUGAGGCAUUCCCCGCACUGCCACCUGCUGAGUGAUACCACAUUAUUUUCUCCCAAACAUCUGCACCAUCAUUAGUAAUGUCUAUACUUCUAAGUACAAUGGGGUUUAUUAUCAUUAAUGAUAAUUAUCGUUAUUGAAGAACCAGAGAACUUUCAUCUCAUGGUGAUAUUUUGUUUCAUGCCUCACAUCAAAUCUCCUCUUCCCAACGCAUCUCUGUUUUUCUUUAGAAUGUAAAAGAAAGGGAACAAUUGAGGGUAAGGCUAUUUGGGUACUUAGUUUGAUUCUGCAUGACGUUGAGUAAGUCAUCUUUGGGUAAGAACUUCAGAGUGGACAAAAGAAUGGAUUGAGUUAUGUCAGUAGUUCUUAACCAUGAGGGAGCCUUAUGGAGA
rnacentral:lncRNA from 1 species